rnacentral:rRNA from 1 species
UACGUAGGGGGCAAGCGUUGUCCGGAUUUAUUGGGCGCAAAGAGCGUGUAGGCGGUUUGGUAGGUCCGCUGUGAAAACUCGAGGCUCAACCUCGAGACGCCGGUGGAAACCAUCAGACUAGAGUCCGGAAGAGGAGAGUGGAAUUCCUGGCGUAGCGGUGAAAUGCGCAGAUAUCAGGAAGAACACCCGUGGCUAAGGCGGCUCUCUAGUACGGUACUGACGCUGAGACGCGAAAGCGUGGGGAGCGAACAGG